rnacentral:lncRNA from 1 species
UGGUAUUAGGGGAGGGGAGGGGGCAUCAAACCAAAGUUUUGAGACGACCGAUUCCCCAUUAUUUCUUUUCUAUCGAGACGCUGUCGAGGAUGGUUACGUUGAUCAUUGCGGGGACUUUCUUUCCUGAUAUGUUCUUCAUAAAAAAGGUUGGUGGAAAUUGUUCUCAACGUGCAGUGUCAAGUUAACAAGAUACCUCUGAUCAUGCCUUUGAGGUCUCUAUCAUGUUAGGAGAUGAAAUGUGAAGAAAACGGAAGGCAAUCUGAAAUGGAAUUCUCGAGUCUGGUGUUGGAGCUGUUAAUGGUGGUGAUUUCUGGUGUGCAAUGGUGUGGCAGUCAUUUUUCGAUGAAGAGAUGUGCUGAAAUGGUUCUUCUGCAGACUUGGAAGUUCAACAUCAGACUUCAUUUUACCAUGCUCUUGUCCAUGCAGUGUUGAGCUCUUGUGCAAAAUAGUUGGGGUUUCCUGAAGGCUGUCUGGCAUUUUGUUGGUGUUUUCUCUUGCUGCCUGUACCCACAUUAAGUUCAAUCGUACGCCGCCGUUCCAGACUUGAUCCAUUGGUGAAGCCGAGAAAAAGUUGCUGAAAUUCAAGACUGAAAAAAUUAAUCAGACUUUGACAAUUUACAAAUGCAUAUCUGUUGUCCCUUUUCCCUGAGUAAACAGCAUGUCGGCCGUUGGUUAUUCGUCUGGUCGUACGGGAAAUAGCAAUGAGAAAUUCUGAUGUAUAUUUUUGGAGAAAGAUUAGUUUGACCACGAAAUAAUUCUCCCUUAUAAUUUGAUAUCAACUCUUCAUCCUUUAUAUAACGUUUCAAAUUGUUCGCUCUUCAUAUGUGUAUGUCCAAUAUUAUUACUUCGCAAAUAAUAAAAUAUGAAAUCAAA